GUUGAAACACUGGUUCUUGUACGAUCAUCAAAGUUAAGCAACAUCGAGUCUGCUCAGUACCUAGAUAGGUGACCGAUUGGGAAUACCAGAUGCUGUAAG